GUACCAAGUGACUGGCUUGGGCCGGGUUAUAUAGGGCCGCGGCGAGGGUCGCGGCUCAGUGCCGAGGUGUCCACUGUCGGGUAGGCUGCUGCGUCUCAUCUCUCGAAACUUCUCUUUUAUAAUGGCCAAGCUUAAGGUCCAUAUCGUGUACUGCGGUGCCUGAGGUUACGCCCCCAAGUUCAGGAAGCUGAAAGAGCAACUUGACGGGGAGUUUCCUGAUAAGCUGGACAUUUCGGGUGAAGGAACACCCGAGGUGACUGGAUACUUUGAAGUCACUGUUGGAGAUGAGCUCAUUCAUUCGAAGAAGAAUGGUGAUGGUUAUGUCGACAAUGAGAAGAAAUACGACAAAAUAAUCGAUGCAAUUAAAGAUGCCUUGGGCGACUAGAUAGCAUCGGACUUGGUGUUCGUCCAUCAAUGGUGUGAUGGUGAUUAUCCUGGUGGCAUGACUACAGAGGAUGAAGCAGUGGGUUGAAAGCCUCUUCAGGAAUGACUCACAGUGGAAGAAAGAGGAGACCUGCCAAAUAAAUGCUGGGAUUGUCACAAAUGCAUCAGAGAUGGAAGACACCUUUUCAUCCCUUAUGGUUGUCUGAAUAUUCAGCAGCAAAAAUAUAUAUAUAUUGCAUUCUGAUUCUACUUUAAUUUGGAAUUUCAAGGUUGAGAAAUUUUUAGGUCUUUAAUAAAAUGGUAUCUUGUACACAUUACUGUACUGCAUUUGGAUGUUAUUUUUAAUAUAUAAAAUUAAAAAUUUAAAUAUUAAAUUAUAAUAUUUAAAAUCUUAUAAGAAUGGCAAUAUAAUACUGGGUAAAAUAUAAUGUACUUCUGA